rnacentral:rRNA from 1 species
AUUGAACGCUGGCGGCAUGCUUUACACAUGCAAGUCGAACGGCAGCGCGGGCUUCGGCCUGGCGGCGAGUGGCGAACGGGUGAGUAAUACAUCGGAACGUGCCCAGUAGUGGGGGAUAGCUCGGCGAAAGCCGGAUUAAUACCGCAUACGACCUGAGGGUGAAAGCGGGGGAUCUUCGGACCUCGCGCUAUUGGAGCGGCCGAUGGCAGAUUAGCUAGUUGGUGGGGUAAAGGCCUACCAAGGCGACGAUCUGUAGCUGGUCUGAGAGGACGACCAGCCACACGGGGACUGAGACACGGCCCAGACUCCUACGGGAGGCAGCAGUGGGGAAUGUUGGACAAUGGGCGAAAGCCUGAUACAGCAAUGCCGCGUGUGUGAUGAAGGCCUUCGGGUUGUAAAGCAGGUUUGGCGGGAACGAAAAGGACUGUGCAAAUACGACGGUUAGAUGACGGUACCCGCAGAAUAAGCACCGGCUAACUACGUG